rnacentral:lncRNA from 1 species
AAGCAGAAGAUGGAGCAGAUGAAAGAGAUGAGAGGCUGUGAUGCCCACCUGAAGCCCUGCUGGAGAGGACAGCACUCCGAGGAGUAGCAGAGGAACCAGAUGGAAGUAGCCAUGGUCUGGGACAACCUCAUGUAGCAAAACGGCCCUCCUGGCCUGGACAGACAGCUGAGGGUGCAAGCCCCGAGAAAUGCGAGCCAUGGCUCUUCAUGGCUGAAGGAAUUGGUCACCUAACACUGACACGGUCUGGAAGAAUUAUUUUGAAGCUGUGAUGACCACCUGAAGACCUGCUGGGGAGGACGGCACUCCAGGGAGUAGCAGAGCAACCACAAGGAAGUAGCCGUGGUGUGGGACGUCCUCAUGUAGCAGAAUGGCCUACCUGACCUGGACCGCCUACUGCCUCUGGACUGUUAAGAGAGGAUAGACACUGUCUUGGUGAUACCACUUAACAGUCGUGUGCAGCAUCAUGACAUUUUGGGCAGCAAUGGACCACAUGUACAAUAAGAUUAUCACAGAGCUCAACAUUCCUAUUUCCUGGUGACAUGGCAGCCAUCAUGACUUCGUAGCACAAUGCAUUCCUCACGUGUUUGCAGUGGUACUGGUGUAAACACACCUCCUUGCACUGUCAAUCAUAGAAUUUAGCACAUAGAAUUACAUACAGUACAUAACACCUGAUAAUGAUAAUAAAUGACUAUGUUAAAAGUUUAUGUACUUACUAUACUUUUAUCAUUAUUUUAAAAUGUGUGCCUCCUAUUUAUGCAGAAAAAAGUUAGUUAUGAAGCAGCCUCAGGCAGGUCCCCCAGGAGGGAUUCUAGAAGAAGGCAUUGUUAUCCUAGGAGAUGACAGCUCCAUGCAUGUCACUGCCCCUAAGACUGUCCAGUGAGCAAGAUGUGGAAGCAGAAAUUGAUGAUCCCGACCCUGUGAGACCUAGGCUAAUGUGCGUAUUUGUGUCUUAGUUUUUAACACAAAGUUCUAAAGAAAUUUUUAAGUAGAAAAACGCUUAUAGAUUCAGGUUAUAAAGACAGAAAGUGGCCAAGUGUGGUGCCUCGUGCCUGUAAUCCCAACACUUUGGAAGGCUGAGGUACACAGAAGGAUCACUUGAGUCUGGGAGUUUAAGACCAGCCUGAGCGACAUAGCAAGACCCCAUCUCUACCAAAAAUACAAAAAAUAUAUAUAUAUCUGGGCAUGAUGGCAUAUGCCUGCCAUCCCAGCUAUUCAGAAGGCUGAAGUGGGAAGAUUACUUGAGCCCAGGAGUUGGAGACUGCUGUGGGCUAUGAUCAUGCCACUGCACUCCAACCUGGGCAAAAGAGUAAGAUCCCAUCUCAAAAAAAAAAAAAAAAAAAGAAAGAAAUUUUGUAUAGCUGUACAGUAUGUUUGUGUUUUAUGCUAUGUUAUUACAAAAGAGUCAAAAAGUUUAAAAAUAUUAAAAAGUUCAUAAAGUAAAAAAAGUUAUAGUAAGUUAAGGCUAAUUUAUUAUUAAAGAAAUAAAAUAUGUUUUUAUAAAUUGAGUGUAGCCAAAGUGUACAGAGUUUCUGAAAUCUAAAGUAUAAUACAGUCAUGUCCUAGGCCUUCCCAUUCACUCACCAGCUACUCACUCAUCCAGAGCAACUCUCCAGUCCUGCAAGCUCCAUUCAUUGUAAGUACCCUAUCCAAGUUUAUUAUUGUUUAUUUUAUACCUUAUUUUUAUAGUCCCUUUUCUGUAUUUAGAUAGAUUUAGAUACACGAAUACUUUGUGUUAACAAAUGCAUUGUGUUACAGUUGCCUAUGGUGUUCAGUACAGUAGCAUGCUGCACAGGUUUGUAG